GGAUCGACAGACUUUAAAGAGAUCUGUGAAAGUUUGAAUAUAAAUUUGUGUCCUUUUUGCAACAUUCUAUAACUAUCUCAUUAUCGUUGUAUGUAGAAUAAGGGAAAUUUGAAAUUUGCGUUUUGUGUUUGCACAUACGUCCAUGCUGAGUUCUUCACUUGACCUCUUCGUAUUUUUUAUUAGACAUGUUCAUUCUUUGUGCUCGUCCUUAAAUGAGUCGAUUCAUUUGAUAUCGAACCGUAUCAAUAG